UUGCUUUAUUAACACAUAUAAUAAAAUUGGAAUGAUACAGAGAACAUUAGCAUGGCCUCUGUGUAAGGAUGACACAAAUAAAAAAUACAAUGGUCCAAAAUAUUU
ensembl:snRNA U6 U6 spliceosomal RNA